GUGCAGUGGCAGCGGGAGGGUACCUGGCGAUGGCGAUAUGAGCGGUGCAGGGGUGGCGGCUGGGACGCGGCCCCCCAGCUCGCCGACCCCGGGCUCUCGGCGCCGGCGCCAGCGCCCCUCUGUGGGCGUCCAGUCCUUGAGGCCGCAGAGCCCGCAGCUCAGGCAGAGCGACCCGCAGAAACGGAACCUGGACCUGGAGAAGAGCCUGCAGUUCCUGCAGCAGCAGCACUCGGAGAUGCUGGCCAAGCUCCAUGAGGAGAUCGAGCACCUGAAGCGGGAGAACAAGGGUGAGCCGGCGCGGGGCCCUAGGCCGGCCCUGCCUCCCCUGGCACACUCAACACUGCCGCUCCCGCAGCACAGAAACACAGCCAUCAACUCCAGCACACGCCUGGGCUCAGGGGGAACACAGGACAAUCUCCAUUACAAGCUCAUAAUGAAUCAGACAUCACAGAAGAAAGGUGAGAACUGGGCCCUUCAGUGACUGAUGGGAUGCUCUUGCCACCCAGGGGAGCCCCU
rnacentral:sRNA from 1 species